rnacentral:lncRNA from 10 species
CUGAGAUCGUGCCACUGCACUCCAGCUUGGUGACAGAGUGAGACUCCGUCUCAAAAAAAAAAAAAAAAAAAAAGGAAAAGUGAUGUUAAUUUUAUUAUCUAUUUUCUUCAUAGAAAUCCAUCUAAAAAUGAAGUACUAGCCUUAGUCUUUGCAACAGGUUAUCAUAUUGUAUCUAUUCAUUAUAUUGCCCUGGUGUUAUUCUUACUUAAACCCAUGUUAUAUUGAUAAAAUUAGUCAUCCUAGAUUUUGAGUUCCACAAAAGAGCUUAGUGUCACUUUAAAUAUAAAUGUGUUAAUAGCAAUAUUUUGGUUUUGCAAAUCUGUAUGGUGAAGGUGCAGUUUUUAAAAAAUUUUGCAGAGGAGGGUGAUUUGCAAAUUUCAAUUAGCAAAAGCAUAAUUAGUAAAUGCAGAGUCAGAUGUCCCUGGACAGUUCAAUCAGAUUUCAGUGGUAAUAUCCUACCUGGCAUUUGUGCAGAGAUUCUUGGCAUUGAUGUAAAAAUCUGCCAUGGCAAUCUAGACAUUCUUCCUUUGUAUUCUCUGAGAAUUGGCUCUGCUCUCAAUUUCUGCCAUCAUCCUAGUGAGAAAUUCAGAAAAAUUGCCAGAUGGCUCAUCCUGUGAAGAACUCGGUGUAAUCAGGAAGAAUUUUGAAAUAAAGCAAGCCUUGGCAGAAACCCGUUAGCAGAACUCCUCAUUAUUGUGGUUGUUUGAAGAUCCAUUUUUCUGUUCUCAAGGAGAAAAUGAAAUUGUUGGAAGCCAGUAUUUCCACAGCAUGACAUGCCAUGGGUUCGUGUCAUUGCAUAGGCAACUUUACUAAUUUUCAUAUAUAAAGCAAGAUAGGCCUUAGCACAUACAUGGCAGAAAUGUCCUAUUCAAACUAAAAGAAGAAAAGCUUUCAAAUUACCUUUAUGCUCAGUACUUGAUUUACUGUAUUAGUGAAGAAAAGUAAUGAUAAAAUAAUCUGACAAUUGAAUAUUCAUUGCAAUUUUGGACUUAAGGCCUUUAAGAUAGGAACUAAGUCUUUUAUAGAUAAUGAUGUAUAAUGAUAUGACUAGUUAACGGUAUCAGUUUGUUGAAAACUAUAAAAGGAAAAGCUUGCUCCAAAUAAUCACCCUACUCUUCAAUGCUUGUAAGAAAAAUUCCUAGUUUAGAAUUUCUAGUUUCAAUGUAAAAAAAUUAUUAAUUUUUAAAUAUAAUACAUAUAUGGAUAAUACAAAGGAUAAAUAAGGGAAAUGAUUCAAUAAAUAAACAGCAUUCUUGAAAAGAGAGAAUGAUAACUAGAGAGAAUACAGUUGAGGAGAGAUUAUUUUGAUAUUUGAGAUUGUUUUUUCAACCCUUUUGUAAUUGUAAAGUGCUAUAUUGUCUGUCUCUUUGGGUAGGUAAGAGAAGAGUGUGGCUACAUUGCAAAGCAAUCCCAUAUGAGAUGGAUUGCCCAAGCUGAUCUUGAAUUUUAGCCUCCAGUGAUCCUCCCAUCUCAGCCUCCCAAAGCACUGGAAUUAGAGGCAUAAGCUAACACACCUGGUCUCAACCUGUAAAUCAUUAAGGUGACAAUAGAAAAUUGAUAUUUUUGUUGUUAUUUCAUUUCAUUGUGCUUCACUUUACUGUGCAUCAUGAAUAUUGCAUAUUUUGCAAAUUGAAGGUUUGUGGCACCCCUGCAACCAGCAAAUCCAUCGGUGCCAUUUUUCUAGUAAUGUGUGCUUACUUCAUGUCGCUAUGUCAGAUUGUGGUAAUUCUCACAAUAUUUCAAACUUUUUAAUUAUUGUUAUAUCUGUUAUGGUGAUCCAUGAUUUGUGAUUUCUGAUGUUAUUCUUGUAAUUGUUUUUGGGAUGCAACAAACCACACCCAUAUAAAACAGAGAGCAUACUCCAUAAAUUUUGUGUGUAUUCUGACUGUUCCACCAACCAACCAUUAUCCUGUCUCUUCCCUCUCCACAGGACACCCUAUUCCCUGAGAUGCAACAAUAUUGAAAUCAGGUUAACUAAUAGCCCUUAAAUGACCUCUUAGUGUAAAGGUGAAAGGAUGUGUCACACAUCUCUCACUUGAAGUCAAAAGCUGCAAAUGAUGAAGCUUAGUGAAGAAGGCAUGUUGAAAGCCAAGACAGACCAAUAGCUAGGUCUCUCUUUCCAAACAAUUAGCCAGGUUGUAAGUGUAAAGGAAAAGUUCCUGAAAGAAAUUAAAAUUGCUAUCACAGUUAACACAUGAAUGAUAAGAAAUCAAAACAGAAUUAUUAUUUGUUAGAUACAGCUAGAUUCCUAUUCAAACAGUUUGUUCAAUUCCCCUGUUCUUUAUUCUCUAAAUUCCAAGUACCCCCCACCCCCAGCUUUUGCUGCACAGUAACCUGUCUAAACACGCUUACACAUGAUAAGCCCCAGUCCACAUUUCUUUUCUUAUGUGGAAUAGGUUAGCUUUCUAGUCCCCCACAGGUGACCUCUUCCUCCUCUCCCUCUCUCCUCUAUCACACACAUGCCUUAUCCAAGAAAGUUUAAGUGAUUAGCCAAUCGGGACUAGUUUAGAGUCUGUGGUCCAACCCCAGCCAAUGGGGGAAAGAUACAGAGGUAGAAUCUGCAUUAGGAAUAAAAACUCCUACUCUCCUUUGUUCUGUGUGCUCUUGUGAUCAUGACUGAUGCAGGCAGCACCCUUCUGCAGAAGUAAAUUUGCCUUGCUGAGAAAUCCUUUAUCUCAGUACUGGUUCUUCUUUGCAGCACUGUGCAUUUGUUUCCAACAUUACUGAUGUGGAGAAAGUUAUAGUGGUCUGGAGAGUAGAUCAAAGCAGCCACGACAUUCCCUUAAGCCAAAGUCUAGUCCAGAGCAAGGUUCUAAC